AAUAUUGCACAAUGGGGGAAACCCUGAUGCAGCGACGCCGCGCGAGUGAAGAAGUNUUNNGGUAUNUNAAGCUCUAUCAGCAGNNNNNAAAAUGACGGUCACUGACUAAGAAGAACCGGCCAACUACGUGCCAGCAGCCGCGGUAAUACGUAGGGGGCAAGCGUUAUCCGGAUUUACUGGGUGUAAAGGGAGCGUAGGUAGCAAAUCAAGUCAGAUGUGAAAGCCCGGGGCUCAACUCCGGGAUUGCAUUUGAAACUGGUAUGCUAGAGUGCAGGAGAGGUAAGUGGAAUUCCUAGUGUAGCGGUGAAAUGCGUAGAUAUUAGGAGGAACACCAGUGGCGAAGGCGGCUUACUGGACUGUAACUGACACUGAGGCUCGAAAGCGUGGGGAGCAAAC
rnacentral:rRNA from 1 species